UACGGGAGGCAGCAGUAGGGAAUCUUCCACAAUGGGCGCAAGCCUGAUGGAGCAACGCCGCGUGUGUGAUGAAGGGUUUCGGCUCGUAAAACACUGUUGUAAGAGAAGAAUGACUCUGAGAGUAACUGUU
rnacentral:rRNA from 1 species